AAGCUUAGAGCAAAAUCUGAGGCUUAAUUAGAGGAAAUUCAAUCACCAAAAACAACAAUAAGCUUCCCUGGAAGAAUCAUAUUAUCUGGAAAUGCUGAGCUCCACCUCCCUCCUGGAAUCCAUGCUGUCAGUGUCUCCACCAGCUCUGCCCUGUGAUGUCGCCACGUGGAGGUCCGGUGCCACCUGCCAUUUUUCAUCAUGCCUGCAUUAUUGUUUUCCCUGUAGGAGAGACUUGGGGAUCCAGAAGAGGACUUUAUGGUUUGGCAGCUUGCAUCUCAGUCACUCCUGGAGAAUGUUGCUGAUCUGUCUACUGUGAAUCUUGACUUGAUUAACUUGUUUUCUGAGUCUUUAAAAUAAACAAUUUUAUUUAGUUU